AUGGAAUGUAUGGCUGCUUCAUACUUCCAGGAGGUCUACACUAAAGACCCUACUAUGUCCCCUGAUCUGCUUUUAGAUCAUAUUACGCCGAAGGUUACUGAUGCAAUGAAUGAGAGUCUGUUGGCUCCCUUCUCAGAUGAUGAGAUUUCAGAUGCUUUGUUUCAAAUUGGAUCGUUGAAGGCACCCGGUUCAGAUGGUUUUCUUUCCCGGUUCUACCAACGGAAUUGGGGAGUUUUAAAAGGUGAAAUUAUAGAGGCGGUGAGACAAUUUUUUGUGACGGGGCGUAUGCCAAAUGGGGUAAAUGAUACCUCCAUUGUGCUAAACCCCAAAAUUCAGCACCCUUCUUCUUUAAAGGAUUUCUGUCUCAUUUCCUUAUGCAAUGUGAUAUACAAGAUAGUUUCAAAACACAUGGUAAAUCGCCUUCGCCCACUACUUGCAAAUCUUAUUUCUGACAAUCAAAGUGCUUUCAUUCCGGGUUGGCUCAUUUCGGAUAAUUCCAUUAUCGCCUUCGAAUGCAUUCACCAUAUUCAAACCCCCUGGAGAUAA
rnacentral:rRNA from 1 species